UCCAAAAGACAGGUUUUGCAUAUAAUCUAGAUGGAAUGCAUUCUUCAUUUUGCCAAACACCAAGCUAGCCCCAUGUGAGAGAAGUUGGAUUUGGGUAAGAAAUGAAACCAGUGUGAAAUUGGGUAAUGGCAAACAGGUAUGUAUCUUCUAUAUCACUAUGAAGUAUUGAGUGGAACAUCCUGAAGAUUCAAAACAUGUAAAUCCUGGCUGGGUCCCUGGACCAAAUAUUAUCAAGUUCGAUAAUAUAUGUUUGUGGCCUCAUGAACCAACCUGCAAAGAACUUUUUAAAAGAAUUUCAACUUCAUUUUGCUUGCAAGAAAAUUUGUUUCGGUGUUUUGCAGUUACAACUAUAUAUCGACACACAUUCUUCCUCCUAUUUUGCCAACAACCUUGUGAAGUGAGUUGAACUGGGAAGGAGUAGCUGUGCCACAGUCACUCUCAAAUAAAAUUUAAUUCAAAUUAAUUAAUUUAAUAAGUAUUUGAUAAAUCUAAUAAAUGUCUAAUAAAAUUUGUCCAAAAAUAUG